ACAGUUACUCUAUUAUAUACUGCAGCUGUCCUAUUUGAGCAGUCAAAUUGCAUUGACUGUAUAUUCAUAUGUGAUAUACAGUCACUGACCGUAUAUCACCUUGUUUAUGACGUUGACAAUGCGUUUCCGUAGAGUUUUAUUUAUGACGUCAAUAAAACAUACAGGUUCGCGGAAAUUUUACGUCGUCCGCUUCAAAUUAAAAAAAUGAUUGUUUUUACCCUAAAUAUUUCAUUUAGAACACUUAUAAGAGUUGCAGUAUAUAAAGAAUAACCAUACAUUGUCUCGAAAUAUCAAUCGGUUAUUUGUACUCGGCUCGAAACAGGUAGAAAUGCUCGGCACAGC
rnacentral:lncRNA from 1 species